UUUAUUUUUUUUUAAAAGUUUAUUUUUUAAAAAGAUUUGAUUUAUCUGUCAGUGCACACAAGCAGGAGGAGUGGCAGGCAGAGGGAGAAGCAGGCUUCCCAUUGAGUGGGGAGCCUAAU
rnacentral:lncRNA from 1 species